rnacentral:rRNA from 1 species
GUCCUAGCCGUAAACGGUGCUUGCUUGCUGUAAGAGGAAUCGACCCCUUUUGUGGCGAAGCUAACGCGAUAAGCAAGCCGCCUGGGAAGUACGGUCGCAAGAUUAAAACUCAAAGAAAUUGACGGGGGCCUGCACAAGCGGUGGAGUAUGUGGCUUAAUUCGAUGCAACGCGAAGAACCUUACCUGGCCUUGACAUGCAUAUAGUAGAAGCCUGAAAGGGUGACGAGGUAGCAAUACCAGUAUGCACAGGUGCUGCAUGGCUGUCGU